rnacentral:rRNA from 1 species
CGUAGGGGGCAAGCGUUGUCCGGAUUUACUGGGCGUAAAGAGCGUGUAGGCGGCCAGACAGGUCUGUUGUGAAAACUGGAGGCUUAACCUCCAGACGUCGACAGAAACCGUCUGGCUAGAGUCCGGAAGAGGAGAGUGGAAUUCCUGGUGUAGCGGUGAAAUGCGCAGAUAUCAGGAAGAACACCAAUGGCGAAGGCAGCUCUCUGGGACGGUACUGACGCUGAGACGCGAAAGCGUGGGGAGCGAACAGGAUUAGAUACCCUGGUAGUCCACGCCGUAAACGAUGGGUGCUAGGUGUGGGAGGUGUCGACUCCUCCCGUGCCGCAGCUAACGCAUUAAGCACCCCGCCUGGGGAGUACGGCCGCAAGGCUA